GACGAACGUUGGCGGCGUGCUUAAUACAUGCAAGUCAACUGAAGCACCGGUAGUAAUACUGGUGUGGAGGUGGCGCACGGGUGAGUAACACGUAGGUAAUCUGCCUUCAGGUCUGACAUAACCCCGAGAAAUCGGGGCUAAUAGCAGAUGAUGCAGCGGCUUGACAUCAAAGACAGUUGUUAAAGCUUCGGCGCCUGAAGAUGAGCCUGCGUCUGAUUAGCUAGUUGGCGGAGUAAUAGCCCACCAAGGCGACGAUCAGUAGCUGGUCUGAGAGGAUGAUCAGCCACACUGGAACUGAGACACGGUCCAGACUCCUACGGGAGGCAGCAGUAAGGAAUAUUGCUCAAUGGGAGAAAUCCUGAAGCAGCAACGCCGCGUGAGGGAUGAAGGGCUUUUGCUCGUAAACCUCUGUAGUGAGGGAAAAAUUUCCAUUCUAUGGAAUAUGAUGGUACCU
rnacentral:rRNA from 1 species